rnacentral:rRNA from 1 species
UACGUAGGGCGCAAGCGUUAUCCGGAAUUAUUGGGCGUAAAGCGUGCGCAGGCGGUUAUGUAAGACAGGUGUGAAAUCCCCGGGCUUAACCUGGGAACUGCAUUUGUGACUGCAUAGCUAGAGUACGGUAGAGGGGGAUGGAAUUCCGCGUGUAGCAGUGAAAUGCGCAGAUAUCAGGAGGAACACCGAUGGCGAAGGCAGGUCUCUGGGCCAUUACUGACACUGAGAAGCGAAAGCAUGGGGAGCGAACAGG